rnacentral:rRNA from 1 species
UACGUAGGGGGCUAGCGUUGUCCGGAAUCAUUGGGCGUAAAGCGCGCGUAGGCGGCCCGGUAAGUCCGCUGUGAAAGUCCAGGGCUCAACCCUGGAAGGCCGGUGGAAACUGUCGGGCUAGAGUCCGGAAGAGGCGAGUGGAAUUCCCGGUGUAGCGGUGAAAUGCGCAGAUAUCGGGAGGAACACCAAUGGCGAAGGCAGCUCGCUGGGACGGUACUGACGCUGAGACGCGAAAGCGUGGGGAGCAAACAGG